UGGUGGUAUCAAAAUAAAAAUAAAAGAUCAUGCACAACAUUCAUGUUUAUUUUCCCAUGUUAUAAAUAGAAAAUUCAAAAAGAGACAACUCAUAAUCCUGCCAUAGAAUCUAUUAAAUUAAAAAUCAACUCAUCGGUAUAAUCAGUUACUCAUUGGCUAACCAUUAACCUCUAUCGUAUUUGAGCCUUGAGUGUUAGUUUUCUUUUUGGGAGUAUAAUUCUACAGGAUGACAUUACGACAAAGGAGUGAGUAUAUCAGUGAAGCUCAUUAAGGACUUCUGUGGACACAUUUGCUCUAAAGAUCAUUCAAGUCAACCCAUAACAAACAUCUAGCUUAGGGGAGUGCAUCCCCUAGUUAUUAGGUAAUUAUACCUAAGCGAUUAUCGAGUCUUUCUUAUAGUCAUAAAAUACCAAAAAAAAUUAAAACCAAAGAAACAUACUUAGUGUAUUAUUAAGGUUUGGUUAUAGAGUGUGUCUACUAUCUAUUUUGUUUAGAGUCAAAUAAAAUAUGAUGAACAUUAAAAUUUUUUCUUAGAAGUGAUGAAUAGUCGCUCUGAUUAUUCUCAAGUGCCUAGUUUUCAACCAUAAAUUCUCUUGAGUUUUUGAUAUUACUGUUUUGAUAUAAGAAUUUGCUCUGAACUUAAAACUUGUGGAGGCAUGUGCUUGAGCUCAGUCUAGGUGAUUGAUUGAUAUGACUCAUGAAAGUCUGAGAUACUGUUAUCUUAUUCCUAGCUAUACUAUGUUCUGGAGAUUUAUUUUGAAAACUCAAAACCUUACAUGAUGAGCUCUUGUAUGACAAAAAUUUAAUUUCCUACCAAAGCCAAAUACUAUAUAAUUAGAUUAGGAAAACUUUUGAUCAUUCAUGCUACUUAUUUAAAAUUGAGUUUAGUCAACCUUUGUUGUAUACCUUAUAAGAGUUUUGUCAUGCUUUUAAAACCAAGAUCACGUACACACUCCACUCACAAAUGCAUUAUUCAUACACUAGGAGUAAGCGCAAUCACUUUCCACUUUUGUCUAGAUACCACCUUAAAAAUGUUUUUUGUCCUACCCUAGGAGUGAACACCCAAAAAUAAACCCAUAGGAUAAACCUCUGUUUAAUUGCUCUAUGUUCUUAUUGAUAUCUCUCUGAAUUAUUUCUUAUUCUAAGGAUGCAUGUGGCUAUGCAAAAGUAAAAAAGAAAGAAAAAGGGAGUAAAAGAUGGACAAGUGUCCUAGAAAUUAAAACAAUGGGAACUUAGAUGCCCGCCUCCCUAAUUAAAAAAAAGAAGAAAAGAAAGAAAUGAAUAAAGGUAGCCCAUGUUUUCCUAUGGAAAAGUUCUGAGUCCUUACAAGAGAGGCAUUAUUUUAUAGAAGAGCCAAAUUAGAAUAAGUUUUAGCCACCAUAUAUGCAUAUACACCUAUCCACCAUAAUCCACACACAUGCACAUCUUGGUUUGAUUGUAUGCCUUAACUCUCUUUGGAUGCAUUGUUUGACUUUAUAAUAUAUGAAUUGCAUGUAUGCUCAUCCUUUUCAUUGCCACUCCUAUAAACUCCACUAUUAAAUACUUAGCUAUAGGAAGGUAUAACAUUAUGAUUACCUUUUGUGAUACCCAUAAAUACCGUAUACAAAGAGACUUAAGGAUGUCAUACAAUUAAGCUCUGAGUUUUAUUUUGAAAACAUCUAACAAACUCUGAAAUUUUUGGAACUACGAAAAAUUGGAGACAUGGUGCGUAGACUUCAUUGUUCUAUCUUUUGAUUGCUCAAGGCCCAUAUGAAAGCUAGAAGCCCCAUGGUUAAAGGUAAAAUGGGUAAGUUUGGAAGUUGGAGUGGUUUUGUCUAAAUCUGGAGAAGGAUUUCUAUUUAAAGCAUGUGUAUUUGAAAGCCAUUAAAGCAUUGUAGCAACUCCUGAUCCAAGUUUAUUAGUAAUUAGGCUUUUCUUAGGGACCGGC
rnacentral:lncRNA from 1 species